rnacentral:lncRNA from 1 species
AUGGAGGCACUCUGGCAGCCGAGCGGCUGGGAAAGGACAGGACGCAGGAGCGUGGUCCCCAAGGAGCAGCCCUGGGUGCACCCCCUGCAGCGGCCCGGUCAGGACCCCGAGACGCCCACGCCGACGGGGUGGAAGAGCCUGCGGCUGAAGGCGGCACCUGGGGACUCCGGGGCGUCGGCCGGGCCGGGUGGAUGGCUGGAGGACCUGAAAGCCUUGGGGAGGCCCCCGGAGGCAGCGGACGCACCGGCCGGGCUCAGUGCAGGAGCCUGGGCUCCAGAGAAAGACAGGACUCGGAGCUGCUCAGGCGGGCAGAGGGGCUCCCUGCUCUCCCCCUGCAAGUGGGUGAGACCCAGCCACUGCGCCGCCCCCCACUGGCUGCAGAGCACUUUGGGGCCUCCCUCUUCCCGGGCCUUCCCAUUGUGGGAGCCCCAAAUCCCGGCCCUGCUUCUCUGCGGUGCCCCAGCCGGGGGUCCUGGACUGCAGGAGCGCGGUGACCCCACUCGUCUUGCACCGGCCGCGCGGCCAGUGGUCUUCCUGGGGAAGCCACAGGAAGCCUCGUGUGACGCUCCGGAUCGCACCUGCCCCCUGCGCGGCCACCGCUGCCAGGGGUUGCCGCCCUUGCCAACUCACGAGAACAGAGCCCAGGCCGGGUCGUAAGACCCGGCCCUCCUGGCAAGAAAAGGCAACCUCGGUGCCUCGGACCAGCCCUGGGACCCAGGCCGUUCCCUUCUGGAAGCUUCUCAUGUUUGUAGAAACGACCCCAGUACGGCCAGCAUAAAACCGCGGGGGGCAAACAGGCCCCGGGGGACAGUGGAAGGCCAGCGCGAGCCCCCACUGACAAGAAGCCCUCUGCCCGACCCCUGCCGAGGGGAGCCGGGGCCACGCGUGGCCUGUGUGUGGAGCGCGUGCACACGGCCCGAGCAGCAGGGGACCCCUUCCGGGCCUCACUCUUGCUUUGAGGACGCAGCUCCGGCAGCUCACAGACACUCCUGUCGCACGUCCAGAAAAGGCAGAGUGUGAAUUGCUGCCACUGUCCAUGGAAAAAAGUUAGUUCUUCGCUCAAGUAAAAAAAUAUCAAAUAUAAUAAAUUUAUGAAAGCCCAUUGAGAACAUACAGGCUCAGUCUUACAUUUUGUCUCAGCAGCCGGGAUCAGGUCGCUUUGCAGAGCCCCGGGGUGUGGCCUGACCGGAUGGGCCACCCCGAACGCUCGGUGCGGCUGCCACAGCGCUGCGCCUCGGUGCUCCCUGGGGCCGAGGCCCGUGUCACCGGGAGCCCGAGCCGGAGGGCCCAUGCACGCUGGCGGCGGUGGCGGCGUGUC